rnacentral:rRNA from 1 species
UACGUAGGGUGCGAGCGUUAAUCGGAAUUACUGGGCGUAAAGCGUGCGCAGGCGGUCCGCUAAGUCUGAUGUGAAAGCCCCGGGCUCAACCUGGGAACUGCAUUGGAAACUAACGGGCUUGAGUGUGGCAGAGGGGGGUGGAAUUCCACGUGUAGCAGUGAAAUGCGUAGAGAUGUGGAGGAACACCGAUGGCGAAGGCAGCCCCCUGGGCUAACACUGACGCUCAGGCACGAAAGCGUGGGGAGCAAACAGG